CAAAAUAAGUUAACUCUAUUCCUCCGAAGCUUUGGCGGGGGAAACCCGUUUUUCUGUAACCCAGAGAAAGGAAAGAAGAAAAAUGGUGGGAAAAAGGGCGACUGAGAAAACGAAGCUUCUUACUGAAAUCGAAGAACCCACCAUUCGAGAACAAUCCAUAAAUUGCAGUGAGAGUGAGCAAGAAUUAGAAGAUGAUGCAGUACCAAUUAGCGAGGUUAUUAGGGUUUCUGAAAACGGGAUUGAGAGAAAGAACCAUUUCAGUGCUUUUCAAUUCGAUGGAAAUCAUUUUAAACUUGAGGACACUGUACUCGUGACGCCAGAGGAGGGGAAGAUUAAGCCUUCUGUCACAAUCAUCAAGGACAUUUUCAAAAUCGAAGGCGAGGGUUUGAUGGUAAGAGCACAGCGAUUUUAUCGGCCUGAAGAGGUAAAGAAAACGGGGGGUGGAACCUGGGAAUCACGUGAUGCAAGGGAGCUUUUUUACAGUUGUCACCUUGAUGAAUUCCCUGCUGACGGUGUGAUGCAUGAGUGCGUGAUACAUCUUGUGCCUCUUCACAAGCCGUUGCCUGAUCGUAAAGAAAACCCUGGGUUCGUCGUACGCAAGUUCUACGACUAUGUCAAUCAGAAAGUACGAAGUCUUACUGACAAAGACUGCAAAGGUGUCUUGCCUCGGUCAGUAUAGACUAUAGAGUCUACAUAUGCUGAUAUGCUUACUUUUACACAUGCUGUUUGUUAGACUGGAUGAAGGAAACACUAAGUUGCCAAAGGAACUUUGUGCCUUACUGAGUAUAGAAUAGUUCAAAGGUAUAUAUGCUGGACAGAUUUUGUAAAUAGGUUACCAAAUUACUCAUAAAACAAUCUUAUGGAGAAGUACAGAUGUUUGUGGUCCAUUUUGGUUUGGUCAAGUUGUCUGGAUUCUCAACAAAGGGGGUAUACUGUUGUUUUCCUACUCUGUCUAAUCUUAUCACCUUCAUAAUUUCUUGUCAUGCAAUCUUUAGUCAAAAGCUCUUAAUUACACUUGGUAUACAAUACUCCAUAAUUAUUGUAACACAGAUUAAAGGUUAUCUGAUAUAAUGUAAAAUCUUCCAGAAUCAUGCAUAAUGUGAAUUAUACAGGUAUCAAAACAUGUUACUCUGUACUCCAUAAAAGUUACUGUAAUUGGGUAAAAGUUAUCACAAUUGUACAAUAAAUUUAAUGUACAUUGGUUGCACGAAAAACACGUUUUUUUUCAUUUCCUACCCAUAUCUUUAUCCACUAAACAACAAUGGAUUUGCAUUUGAGUAUUUGACCCAUCUCUUAAACAAUCACCCACUCUUUUUAGAAACAAGCUUUGGAAUUACUUGCCCAAAAAAAAUCAAGCUUUGGGAUUGGAGGGGGAAAACCAUUUUUCUUAAAUCGGAAAAAAUAAAAAUGGUGGGAAGAAUUGUAUCUCACAACGACAAUAGAGCUGAAAUCAAGAAGACACAGCUUCUUAAUGAAACCCAUAAACCCACAAUUGAAGAACAAUCCAGAAAUUGCAGCGAGAGCGAGCAAGAAUUACAGAAUGGUGCUGAGCCAAUUGGCGAGGUUAUUAGGGUUUCUGAUAAUGGGAUAGAGAGAAAGAAGCAUUUCAAGGCUUUUGAAUACGAUGGGAAUCUUUUUAAACUUGAGGACACUGUUCUUGUGGUGCCAGAGGAAGGGAAGGUUAAGCCUUCUGUCACAAUGAUCAAGGACAUUUUCCAAAUUGAAGGCGAGGAGGGUUUGAUAGUAAGAGCACAGCGAUUUUAUCGGCCUGAAGAGGUAAAGAAAACGGGGGGUGGAACCUGGGAAUCACGCGAUGCAAGGGAGCUUUUCUACAGUAGUCACCUUGAUGAAUUCCCUGCUGACGGUGUGAUGCACGAGUGCGUGAUACAUCUUGUGCCUCUCCACAAACCGUUGCCUGAUCGUAAAGAAAACCCUGGGUUUGUCGUACGCAAGUUCUACGACUAUGUCAAUCAGAAACUACGAAGUCUUACUGUCAAAGACUGCAAAGGUGUCUUUCCUCAGUCAGUAUAGAUUAUCCAUGUGCUUGCUGUUUCAUAUGCUGUUUGUAAGACUAAACGAAGGAUAUUGUAACAUACUCGUACUACUAACCUCCCACGGAGUAAUUCAUGAAUCAAUUAUUAUUAUGAGA